UACGUAGGGUGCAAGCGUUAUCCGGAAUUAUUGGGCGUAAAGAGCUCGUAGGCGGUUUGUCACGUCUGCUGUGAAACUGGAAGGCUCAACCUCCAGCCUGCAGUGGGUACGGGCAGACUAGAGGUGUGGUAGGGGAGAUCGGAAUUCCUGGUGUAGCGGUGGAAUGCGCAGAUAUCAGGAGGAACACCGGUGGCGAAGGCGGAUCUCUGGGCCAUAACUGACGCUGAGGAGCGAAAGCAUGGGGAGCGAACAGGA
rnacentral:rRNA from 1 species